UGCUGAUUGAAGGGUCGCUUGGCUAAUCAGCUCGCUGGCCGCGCGCUGUCAGUCCGGAUGGAGAGUUUAGUGAAGGGGAGAAAUGGCGUAGUUGUGUGAAGCGGGCCGGGUCCGGCCGAACCACGCGAAGAAACCGGACCCCGCGGCCCGCUGGAACACAGCAGAGCAUGGGGGAACGGACCGGACCGGUCCUUUUAUCACUGCAGCGGCCGGGAGGAGGAUGACUUGUGUUUCCUGUCCUGCUAAAGGAACUGUUUCAACAUGUUUUGCUGUAAGACAACAAAAGAACCAUUAACUGAUUUUCUUAACUUCAUCCCUGGAUAGAAAUUCACACAAUGACCGACCUUCACGGAUGAGAAGUCAUGAUGGCUGGCCUCAGAACUGAAGUCUGGAUCCACAUUCCUGUCCAUUCAGCUUCUGACUUCUUCCAGAAGUUCACACACAGUUAGCUGGAAACAAGUUCUCAUCUGUUAUGUUACAUGUCUGACCCACUUUUAUUACAGAACCUACAGACGCAUAGGUAUACUAUAAUAUGACCACAUGUCAUUUCCAUCAUAAUUUGAACUGAAGAGUUUUCAAAGUGUAUUAGCUUACAAUCAUAAAUCUAUAAAUAGAUUCUAAAGUGGCUGGGUUUUUUUUAAUCUUCAUUUUUCACUGCUCCUGCUGGUAAGAAAUCAAUUUGCAUUUUGCAUUGUGGAUUAUUCUAGAUUGAUUUUGUGAUGAUUUGUGAAGAAUUCUCGUGUUAUUUUCUUCAGCUAGUUCAGUCAGGACCAUUGCUAAUUUUCCUAACAGCUAAGGCAGCUAGCUACUAAUUAGCAGUUAAUAAAGGUAUGUAGGCUAAUUGUUAGCUACUACA
rnacentral:lncRNA from 1 species